ensembl:rRNA 5S_rRNA 5S ribosomal RNA
GCCCAUGGCCAUUCCACCUUGAAUGCACUGGAUCUCGUCUAAUCUCAGAAACUCAGCAAGGUUGGGCCUGGUUAGUACUUGGAUGGAAGGACUUCCUAAAACAGAACACCUUGGAAC